ACCGGCAGCUCAAGUGGUGGCCAUUUUUAUUGGGCCUAAAGCGUUCGUAGCCGGUUUGAUAAGUCUCUGGUGAAAUCUCGCAGCUUAACUGUGGGCAAAGCAGGAGAUACUAUUAGACUUGAGGUCGGGAGAGGUUAGGGGUACUCCCAGGGUAGGGGUGAAAUCCUAUAAUCCUGGGAGGACCACCUGUGGCGAAGGCGCCUAACUUUUUCUUACCUGACGUGUUGUAACGAAAGCCUUUUUUGCGAUCCG
rnacentral:rRNA from 1 species